UAGCCGUAAACGAUACUCGCUAGGUGUCGGCCACGGUGCGACCGUUGUCGGUGCCGUAGGGCAGCCGUGAAGCGAGCCACCUGGGAAGUACGGCCGCAAGGCUGAAACUUAAAGGAAUUGGCGGGGGAGCACCACAACGGGUGGAGCUUGCGGUUUAAUUGGAUUCAACGCCGGAAAUCUUACCGGGACCGACAGCAACAUGAAGGCCAGGCUGAAGACUUUGCCGGAUUAGCUGAGAGGAGGUGCAUGGCGUAGUCGUGU
rnacentral:rRNA from 1 species